rnacentral:lncRNA from 1 species
CUCCCUCCUUCCCAGUGGGAAUUAUUCUAUAUGUAGUUGUAGAUUUGGUGUGUCUGUCGGAGGAAGUAAGUUCAGAGGCUUUUUAUACCACCAUCUUGGACCACUCUUUUUGUAAUAUAUCGUAAGGAAUCUGAAGAUUUUUUUCACCUUGAGCAAUUUGAGUAAAUGUGAUUUUGUGAGGGUUUUUGGCAGGGGGGGUUUGCAAUGGUCUCAAGGAUAAUCUGACUUUCUCAUUUACCCUCUUACAAUAAAAUUACAGGCAUUUCGAGAGAUGAGAUAGGCGGGCCGCUCAGAAACAUUAUCCCAUCCAUCAGGAAGAGAACCCAAAUUAAGGAUUCCAAAGAUUCCAAAAAGGCAACAGUAUGGAAAAGGAGUCUGUGCUACAGAGGUGAUCUGAAUCCAGGAAAAAAUGGAAGAUGUCUAUAAUAAAAAAACUAGCAAUUUUAUGGCAGCAUUUGAAAAUUUUACCCUUUACAAGAUGAACAUGAAAAGCCACCUCCAAGCUUUGAUCCAUUAAUGUCUCAUGAAGCUACAGUCUUUGGAGUAAGAUAUUCAUGUUACAUCCAC